rnacentral:lncRNA from 1 species
CUACUGUAAUAUGCAGUAAUGUAUUCCCUAACUGUGGAAUCUGCAUUCAGAUUCUGUGCAGCAGCAUGUCCAUAUUGCAUAAUUUGUUUGUACUUGAGCUAACCUGAAGCCAAAUGACACUGAUUACCUCACAUCCACACUGCUUAAGGCUAGCAUUCCUCAUAAGUUUUUCUCAGAGCCAACCAGCUGUUGGUAGUGACGUAACAAUUAAUAACUGAAGCAACAGAGAAGACACUGAGCUCUUAGAUCUUUUCCAUUUAUCAGUUUAGAACUACACUGCUGUCCCUGAAGUAGCUCCUUAAAUGGUCUCAAUCUCCUGAAGGGGUUUAAGGAGAAGCUGUGUAUCCACAAGAAGGUGUGGAUUGCAACACCCAGCCAGGGCUGUUUUCAUGUCCCUGCUGCCCAAAUUUCAUUAUCUCUCAAAUCAGAGAAAAAACGAUCUGGCCAGAAGCUUGCCUAGGGCCUUGUGGGAGAGCAUACGGGAAGCAGAAAGCAGCAGAGUUAAAAGCUGUGGAACAACUGAGCUACAGGGCAACACUCCAUCAUAUUAUGCAGACCAGAAUAACACAGAAAGUUCAGUUUUGUUGACAAAAAGAAACUUCUCUUCCUAAAUAUGUGGUCCUAGCUGGAAACUGAGCUUGGGGAUUUUCCUUUUCAUCUACUCCUCUCCUGACCUAGUAGCACUGCUUUGACAACUAAUCCACAAAGCAGUACCUGAUGUACUUACUGUUAGAUAAUGUCUCAAAGCAGUUUUUCAGGCACUUCAGAAGUGAUUGAUUUAACCUGCUUAUGUUGUUUCCAUUUACUUUUUUUUUUACCCUCCUAAUUUUAUGUCCUGCUAAUCUGGCUUUAAAAUUCUAGAGGCUUUUAAAUGCAAAAAACAAUAUAAUGCCACACUCAGAGAAAGAAAUAUAAUCUAGUUAAAUGCUGAAACCUUGCAAACCUGGUCAAACAGCAUCUGGUUUAGAGUUGCAGAGAAGAGUAGAGAGGUGGUUUGUAUUCCUGCUUGAACCAGAAAAUACAAUUUCAUGCAGCCACUGUAAAUUUUAUAUAUAUAAAAUAGUCCUUCUGAACUAUAAUUGUGGAAAUUGAAAUACAGAAAUGUAAGUACUGUCUCUGGUUGCUUCAAAUCAGAACAUUAUUCAGGGGAGAGAAUUGAACCAGUGAAUCCAGCAAUUUUUUUUUUCUUAUUCGGCCACUGUGAUAAAUUCCAUACUUUCUGGAUUGUCCUAGUAAGCUAUUUCUACCAUUUUUGUAGUACUCUCAGAUACUGAUCUCAACUAGAUUUCAAUAUGACCCUAAUUAACUUUCUGUUUUCCCUUUGAAAAG